rnacentral:rRNA from 1 species
GAUGAACGCUGGCGGCGUGCCUAAUACAUGCAAGUCGAGCGAACAGACGAGGAGCUUGCUCCUCUGACGUUAGCGGCGGACGGGUGAGUAACACGUGGAUAACCUACCUAUAAGACUGGGAUAACUUCGGGAAACCGGAGCUAAUACCGGAUAAUAUAUUGAACCGCAUGGUUCAAUAGUGAAAGACGGUUUUGCUGUCACUUAUAGAUGGAUCCGCGCCGCAUUAGCUAGUUGGUAAGGUAACGGCUUACCAAGGCAACGAUGCGUAGCCGACCUGAGAGGGGGAUCGGCCACACUGGAACGGGGACAGGGCCCAAACCCCAAGGGGAGGCAGCAGUGGGGAAUCUUCCGCAAGGGGCGAAAGCCUGACGGAGCAACGCCGCGGGAGUGAAGAAGGCCUUCGGAUCGUAAAACCUUGUUAUUAGGGAAAAAAAAAUGUGUAAGUAACUAUGCACGUCUUGACGGUACCAAAUCAGAAAGCCACGGCUAACUACGU